CUAAAGAAAACACAGUUGUGGGAAUAGUCUCAGAAAUGGUGUUUGGAAUCUCUGAGGAAAAGUGUUAAUAUUGUUGGUUAUUUCUCUUACCUGUGGACAUUAAUGCAUAUUGGAGGACAAGCAGGUCUGAUUAGGAUAAACUGUUCCUGUAUGGUGUGUUCUGUUUUUGGAAGGUUCCAAAAUAUUUUGCACUUUCUUAAUCCUAUCAAGCUUAUAACAAUCAGUCCAUGGAUUCUCCCGGAAAUGCAACAGAUGUUCUGAAAGAGCAACACACAACCUGGCUUUCUUUCAAAGACAUCACUGUAUAUUCAGGAGGCAGCGUAAUUGUUACUUUGGGUAUAUUUACCUUCCUUCUUCAGCUUUUAACUAUGGGCCUUGUCCUUUAUAAAUGUUGGAGAUAUGAUAAAAGGAAAACAGAGGAAUAUCUUCACUCUCAAAACAGCCUUUCAACAGAAAAACUAACCCUUAGUGUUAAAGGUAACAGCAAGUACCUGAGCAGAGAGAUCUAUCAGUGCCAUGUUCCUGAUGAGGAGAAUCAGCAGUGGAAUGUCCUUUCAAGAUCUCCACUUAUUUAUCUGAACAGUUUCCAGCAGCAGUAUGACAUGUAUUAUACAGAGAUAAAUCAUUAAACUAAAGGACAUGUUCAGUGGACCUGCAUAAUAAAGCAGGUGAUAGUCAAAGAUAAUGUGCUGCAGCCAACAAUGUUAAAGGUCUUUAAAGAACAAAGAACACAUUAGUUACCCAACCAAUGCAAGCAAUCCUACAAGUCUAUGAGGGAAAGUAUAGAUUGUAGUUAUAUCCCUAUUUGUUAAAAAAAACAAGUGACCAAAAAAGAUGGGGUCAUAUUCAGUCACAGACAAAAGUAUUUGGGCAGUUAAAAAAAUCAGAAAAACCACAAAGAAAGUAAUUUCUAUAAUUUCUAAUUGUUCUAUUGAAAGAUAUAAAUGAAAGUAGUGAUUCAGCUUUAUAAUAAAACACAUUAUUACAUAACAUGCAUACAAUUAAAAAAAUGCAAAAACUAAUUUUAUACUUUGACAAAAGUAUUUGGGCACCAAUACAUUAGUAUUAUGUGUGCCCGGCCUUUGCUUCCUUUAGAGCUUCCUUUUUUGUAUUUUGAAACCAGUUCCUGGCAUCAUUCUGGAGAUAUUUUUGCCCAUUCUUCAACACAUACAGCUUUGAGUUCUGCAAUCGACUCAGGUUUCCUUUUCAAGUCAGUCCACAACAUCUCGAUGGGAUUCAAGUCUGGGGACUGAGAUGGCCAAUCCAUAACUGUAAUCUUCCUUUUUUUCAGAAAUUCCUUUGUAGACUUUGCAGAAUGCUUAGGGCCAUUAUCCUGCUGGAAUACAAACUUCCAUCCAGUAAGCCUUGUAGCAUUGGGUAACAAAUGAGAAUGCAAAAUGUCUUGAUAUUUUGCAGCAUUCAUGGAUCCUUCUACAAUAGAAAGGUCGCCAGUGCCUGGGGAAGAAAAACAAGCCCAUACCAUCACACAACCUCCACCAUGUUUAACACUGGCCAUGGUGAACUUCUUUAAAUUCUUCUUCCUUCAAACAUAUUAUUGCUUUCUGGUGAAACAAGUUCUAUUUUGGAUUUGUCUGACCAUAAAAUUUGGUUGAAGAAAUUAUCAGGCUUCUUCAAGUAUUCAAUGGCAAACUCCAAUCACUUUCUUUUGUGUAUUGUUUUUAACAAAGGUUUGCAUCUUGGUUUUCGCCCAUGGACAUUCAUCUUGUUAAGGUAUCACUGAAUUGUUCGCUCAUGAAUUUCUUGACCAUUUUCUCUCAAUUCUUGUGUCAAAUCUUGUGGCAAUCCGAAGAUUUUGCCAGGCUGCGCAAACGAUUCUUCUUCCAGAUUUUGCAAAAAUCUUUCUUUGUCUUCCACACCUGGAGCUAGGUGCAGUAGUUCCUGUUCUUCUGUUUUUGUCAAUAAUAGCCCACACAGGGCUUUUUGGUAAACCAAGUCUUUCUGCUAUUUUUCUGGUAGUUUCUCCUUUUUCGCUGAGUGGUAUCAUUGCCAUUUUGAGAUCAUACUCUUUAGUUUUAACCAUUUUUGUUGCUUUUUUAAUUUUCAAAUUUCCAAUUUAUUUUUCAGCUCUUAAUGAUUAUGUAUUUAUUUAUUCUAUAAUUAUCAUAAGGUGUUGGUUUUCAAUCAUGAUUAUUGUCAAUAAUUAGCAACGAAUGGGUUUCAUAUGAAAAAUGUUGAUUGCCCAAAUACUUUUGUCAAAGUAUGAAAUUCAUUUUUGCAUUCAUUUUAAUUUUAUGCUUGUUAUGCAAUAAUUUGUUGUUUUAUUAUAAAGCUGAAUCUCUAUUUUAAUUUAUAUCUUUCAAUAGAACAAUUAGAAAUGAUAGAAAUCACUUUCUUUGUAGUUUUUCUCAUUUUUUUAAACUGCCGAAAUACUUUUGUCCGUGACUGUACAUAUGAGUCCCCAGAAUGUAAUGUUAUAGAAUGUGUAUGAAUAGGGCAAGUCCUAAAGGGCAGAUACAAAAAUAAAAACACAUUUGAGAGCAGGCCUGAGUGAAGAAGUUCUUAAGAAAGUGUUAAACUAUUGAGAGAAGAUUCAUCAAACAGAUUAACAGUGUGAAGAACUAACAAAGGCUGAGAAUCUGGAACUAAGUCACACUUACAAGUAGUCUUCCAUUUUUGAGUAAAACUGACAAUUCACUGAAAGGAAAUCAAAGACUGCUACAAAGGGUUUGACCCAGACUGCUGGAGUAAAGUGGGUCCCAAGGUGGCAGUUCCUGAAAACUGGAAAAAGGGUCUAAUGUGCUGAUUUUAAAGAACAAGAACACAUUGCUAAUAAUCUGCAAUACUUUAUAAGUUUAUACAUUGUUUGUCUAUUAAAUAAAAAAAAAAAAUAACAAAAUGUUUCCAAGCUAAAAUAACAAGAAUGUUAAUUGUACCACAUUUGGACUGAUACAAUACAAGAAUUACAUAUGCUGCUUAAGCUACUAAUAGCGUGUUAUGGUUCUCAAUGCUGACUUAAAACUUACCCCAUAC